GUGGGGAAUAUUGGACAAUGGGCGAAAGCCUGAUCCAGCCAUGCCGCGUGUGUGAAGAAGGCCUUUUGGUUGUAAAGCACUUUAAGCGAGGAGGAGGCUACUGAGAUUAAUACUCUUGGAUAGUGGACGUUACUCGCAGAAUAAGCACCGGCUAACUCUGUGCCAGCAGCCGCGGUAAUACAGAGGGUGCGAGCGUUAAUCGGAUUUACUGGGCGUAAAGCGUGCGUAGGCGGCUUUUUAAGUCGGAUGUGAAAUCCCUGAGCUUAACUUAGGAAUUGCAUUCGAUACUGGGAAGCUAGAGUAUGGGAGAGGAUGGUAGAAUUCCAGGUGUAGCGGUGAAAUGCGUAGAGAUCUGGAGGAAUACCGAUGGCGAAGGCAGCCAUCUGGCCUAAUACUGACGCUGAGGUACGAAAGCAUGGGGAGCAAACAGGAUUAGAUACCCUAGUAGUCC
rnacentral:rRNA from 1 species